UUGAGAGAGAGGAUGCGAGGGAAGAGUAACAAAAGUGAAAACAAAAACUUGAAAGUGAAAAUGAUUUUUUAGUUUUUGUUUUCACUUUUGUUACUCAUUCCUUCCUCCUCCCAUCUCAU
rnacentral:miRNA from 1 species